rnacentral:rRNA from 1 species
UAACGGCGAGUGAAGCGGCAAGAGCUCAAAUUUGAAAGCUGGCUCCUUCGGGGUCCGCAUUGUAAUUUGCAGAGGAUGCUUCGGGAGCGGCCCCCAUCUAAGUGCCCUGGAACGGGCCGUCAUAGAGGGUGAGAAUCCCGUCUGGGAUGGGGUGCCCGCGCCCGUGUGAAGCUCCUUCGACGAGUCGAGUUGUUUGGGAAUGCAGCUCUAAAUGGGUGGUAAAUUUCAUCUAAAGCUAAAUACUGGCCGGAGACCGAUAGCGCACAAGUAGAGUGAUCGAAAGAUGAAAAGCACUUUGAAAAGAGAGUUAAACAGCACGUGAAAUUGUUGAAAGGGAAGCGCUUGCGACCAGACUCGCCCGCAGGGUUCAGCCGGCAUUCGUGCCGGUGUACUUCCCCGCGGGCGGGCCAGCGUCGGUUUGGGCGGCCGGUCAAAGGCCCUCGGAAUGUAACGCCCCCCGGGGCGUCUUAUAGCCGAGGGUGCCAUGCGGCCAGCCCGGACCGAGGAACGCGCUUCGGCUCGGACGCUGGCAUAAUGGUCGUAAGCGA